GUCUGGAGCGGCCGGGCUGCGCGGCUGCUGCUUGCGCCGGACUCUGGCCCCGAGCCGCAGACGGGCCGCAGCCCCGGGGGCUGGCUGGGAAGGGGCUUGGCAGCCCCGGCAGCGGCAACAGGCGCGUGGAAAGCCGGGAGGCUGCAGCUAGCGGCUCCGGGGGGGAAAAGAAGGCCAGAGGUCUCCAUAAAAUCUAACUUCAUGUUGCCCCGGACAACUAAUUACCUGGCAAGGAAUGAAUCCAAGAACUGUCCAACCAGUAUAAAGUAGCCAAAACUUCAUGUGAUAGCACCUGCACCAGUGUAAACAGCCUGUCAAUUCUUAUCCACUCUCCAUUUUACUUUGCAUUGGGGAGGCCCACCUGGGAAAAACAAAGCAAACAGAAGUAACCUCUAUGGAAUGACAGCCGUAAAGGAGCCAUUGGCUGGAAAACGACAAAGUUAUCAAGGAUGUGAGCCCUUAUGCCUCAGAUCCCUUCUGGCCUAGGAAUCGCUGAAUCUAUACUCAAAUCACUAACUGAUACGGACUAGGUCAAGAAACUCCCUUUAUGGUGCAUUGAAACCUGAGCAGAAAACUUCAAGUUUACUGUACGCUGAGAAUUUUUUUAGCUUCGUCAAUGAAGCAAAGAAGGAACUCAUCACUUUUAUCAAUGGUUCUCUGAGGAAAGGAACUGAAAAACUUCCAUCUCUUGACACGGAUUAUAUGUUGAUCUAGUAGCAAGAACUGAGAGAUGCUUUUCUUGACCUGUUUGUGAACAAUUUGGGCUCCAGUACAAGGAAGACUGUGGGCAUCUGCAGGAAACAGUCCCGGAAAUACACUGCACAAGUAUUUUAGAUUUCCCUGUUCAGUAAUAGUCAGCAUGCUAUUAUUCUAUCACACGUUGGCUGUAGCUUCUCUUCAGAUCUUCAUCCUCUCAGGGAAUUGGGCUCUAGCCAAGAACAUCAACUUCUAUAAUGUGAGACCUCCACUAGACCCCACUCCAUUUCCAAACAGCUUUAAGUGUUUCACCUGUGCAAAUGCAGUUGACAAUUACAACUGUAACAGAUGGGCUGAAGAUAAAUGGUGUCCUGAAAAUACAGAGUACUGCUUGACAGUUCAUCAUUUCACAAGCCAUGGAAGGAGUAUAUCUGUGACCAAAAAAUGUGCUACCAGGGAGGAAUGCCGUUUUGUUGGCUGUCACCCCCACAGAGAGACAGGCCAUACAGAAUGCGUUUCUUGCUGUGAAGGGAUGAUCUGCAAUGUAGAAAUACCAACCAAUCACACAAAUGCAGUGUUUUCAGUAAUGCAUGCUCAGAGGAAAUCAGAUGGCAGCAGGAGGACAAUUAGCAUUCCGGUGCUUGCAUCAGUCAUAACAAUUAUGUUGUUAUGAUGCAGCUUUCCAUGUGCCAGAUAUGAUUCAGAGGGCUAAACUUUAUGGGCUCUAACAUGAAGCUAUAAGAAGAAUGUUUCAGUUUGAAUAAAGUCACCGUUCCCCUUCAGAUUAUAGAAGAUGGUAGGAAAACAUGGACAUGCACAUCAUGAAGUUUGUUGAUCAUUUAUUGGAAAUUCUUUUAAAGAGUCUGAAGUAUUUAAAAGAAAAAACUGGUGACCAGACCCUGUAGUAGACUUUAACCAGUUAUCUGAAUUCUUCAUUUGGUGGUGGAAGCGUGUAUACACUCUGCACAUUACUUGAACAAGGAAACUGAUUGUCUGUAGGCAGUCGAUUGAUCAGGUGAGCUAAAGGAGUACUUCUAGAUGCAAAAGCUAUGCCAAGCUUAUCUCAAGAGAAGCCACUUUUUUCAUAACUUUGAGUAUUGACUUGUUGUGUUGAGUCUCUUGUCUGCCUUAUUGAUGAGUAAAUGUUAUGUUUAAGUUCAUCCUUAACAUGGUGUUCAUGGAGAACUGUACAUUUUCCAACAAGGUGUCUAAGAAAUAGACAAAAGUGCUUUUUUUUAAUUCAGUUUUGGUCAGAACUUUCAUGUCCUAUGGAAAAACUGAAAAAUAUUUUUGUUUUUUUUUGGUCUCUCCUACUACAACAUUGUGAUGACACCUCAGAUUCUAAAAUAAUGAAUUAAAAAAAAUCCUAACAAAAGAUGCCCCACUGCUUAGGCUCCUACAAGUCUCUGUUUAGGCAUGUAACUAAAAGCAGUCUGAUUUUCAAGAGUGCUGAAUACCUGUAUCUCCCAUUGUCUUUGAUAGGAUUUGUGGGUGAUCAGUUCUUCCAGAUACCUCACCACUUUUAUUUAGGAGCCUAAUGUUAGGCACACAGCUUUGAAAAGUAUGGCCUAAGUUUCUAAAAAUAAUGUUGCCAGUCUUACCUUUGUUUUCAUAGCUGUAUUAGAUUUUUUUAAAGGCCUGGCUUAUUGCAUAUUUUGACUAAUGUCGCACAUCUGACCAGUUGGAAAAAUUAGAAAUGGUAGAAUUUAGGUUACUGUUGCACAUUACAAAAAAAAUCUGUUUUCCUUUGUAGGCCUUGCAAUGAACAAUGUGUGUGUCAUAUUUUAUGUGUAUUCUUAUCCCUGUGGUUCAAGGGCUGGAUACUUCAGAUUCACUGUCUUUCACAUGAAGAAGUCAAUCCUGAAGACUGAUAGAAAUUGAUUUCACUUAUUUUCAGUCAGUAUUUGGUCUGAUUUGCAACAUACGCCAAUGUUGACUAUUUUUUUAAUAUUUUUGGCUCAGAUUCUCUGUGCUUGAAAACUCCCUGAUCCUGUGAACCAGCAUAUGUCAGCCCAGUCCUGAGCACAACCUCAAGGCUCCCAGCAGUCUCUGGGACCUGUGCUGAUGGUUAUGGGUGGAGGGAAGUUUCAGCCAUGCCUCCUUUUUUGCCCAAGCCUGCACUCAGAGCCUUCACUUACUGGAUCCACCAUCCCCUUUGCACUACAGCAUGGUCAUGAGUCUGACCCAUACAGUUUGAACAGAGCACUGUAUUGCAUUUUUUGUUUCAGAAUUUUUUUUGGUACUUUAUUUGUGAAUUCACAGAUGUAACCACUAACAAGUUAGACUCUUUUGAUUUCUCAUCAUCUUAGUUUUUCAACAAAGCUUUCUGUUUAAUCAGAAUUGGUUGAAAAAUUGAGGGGGAAAAAGUUGUGAAAAUUUUGUCCAAAUAUUUUUGUGGGAUUUUUAAUUGAAAUUUUCAGUGCAACAUAAAGAUUUCAUCAAAAAUUGAAUCUCUGAAAAUUUUGACCAACUCUGUAGUUUCAGCCUCUGUGUGUCAAAUCUUUUGUAUUUCUCUCUAACUUGUUUAAGUACACUUAGCUAUUUUAAUUUUAACUGGCAAUUGGAAAACCUCCUUCGCUGAUGUUUUCAAAAUUGAUGAUGAUCUAUACCAACAAAUAUCCAGAGAAGUUCUUAGAAUGGUGACCCUUUUUCUUCUAUUUUUCCUGUAUGCAAAUAUGUGACAUGUCUAACAUCUAUCUCUAUGAUCUGAUGAAGAGGCACUUAUGAGAAAUAAUUUAGAGUUGUAAAAAGUUACAGAUGGAAAAGAUCAUUCACUCCCUUCGCUUGCCAAUGCAGGGUUCUUUCCUGCCAUCUAAAUCUAAAUAUUUCAAGCAAUGGAUUUUUGACAUCACCUUAUGGAAGACUGACUAUUCCGAAGUCCAAUAGAUCAAGCUAUAAGGAAGAAUUUCCUAGUAUUAAGCAAAAUGUUUCUUUCUUUAAAGGCAUUAAAUGUGGUUGCAUUGUCAUCAGUGAUGGGCUAAAUGUCUUUGGAUGCAGCAAGCAAUCAUUAAAAUGAAUGGGAGCCAUAUUCAAAUGUAUCCUAGGACAGAACAAUCCCUUUGUAUUAUGCUUUGAAAUAAAAUUAAAUAUAUGGUGUGAAAUCCAAUCCAUGGAGUUAUACCAGCGUUGAACUUGGCCCUUGACUGCUAUGAAGAUUAAGACAGCACGACCACAAAAUGGUUAUUUCAAGCUUAUAACAAAUAGGACCCAAAAAGGCGAUUGCUCUUGUCUUUGAAGUAAUUUGUACAGUUAAGUGGUAAACAGCUUUGUUUAAAUAUUGCAUUUUUACAUUGUACUAGGGACAGUCUAGAGUCGAUUGUUUUUCCAAAGUUCGAAUGUAUUUGUAACAAAACAUCUUCACUAUUCAAUGUUUGUGUCUGUAUCUGUGUUUCUUA